rnacentral:rRNA from 1 species
GACAGCAGCAGCCGCGGUGAGACAGAGGAUGCAAGCAUUAUCCGGAAUGAUUGGGCGUAAAGGGCUCGCAGGCGGUUUCUUAAGUCUGAUGUGAAAGCCCCCGGCUCAACCGGGGAGGGUCAUUGGAAACUGGGAAACUUGAGUGCAGAAGAGGAGAGUGGAAUUCCACGUGUAGCGGUGAAAUGCGUAGAGAUGUGGAGGAACACCAGUGGCGAAGGCGACUCUCUGGUCUGUAACUGACGCUGAGGAGCGAAAGCGUGGGGAGCGAACAGGAUUAGAUACCCCCGUAGUCCCUGUCUCUUAUAC